rnacentral:rRNA from 1 species
GACGAACGCUGGCGGCAUGCCUAACACAUGCAAGUCGAACGGAGCUUUUUUGCAUGAUUUCUUCGGAAUGAAUUUGGUUUAGUUUUGUGCCGGACGGGUGGGUAACGCGUGAGUAACCUGCCUCCAAUACGGGAAUAACAUUCUAAAAAGAAUACUAAUACCGCAUGACAUAUCGGGACCACAUGGAUUUAAUUUCAAAGAUUGUAUCCCUCGAAGAUGGCCUCGCGUCCGAUUAGUUAGUUGGUGAGGUAACGGGUCACCAAGACCGCGAUCGGUAGCCGGACUGGGAGGGUGGACGGCCACAUUGGGACUGGGACACGGCCCAGAAUACUUCGGGAGGGAGCAGGUGGGGAUAUUGCGAAAUGGGGGCAAACCUGACUCAGCAAAGCCGCGGUAAGGAUGAAAGUUUUCGGAGUUUAAACGUCUUUUAUCAAGGGAGAAAAAUGACGGUACCUAAUGAAUAAGCUCCGGCUAACUACGUG